AUUGCCCCAGUAACGGCGAGUGAAGCGGCAACAGCUCAAAUUUGAAAUCUGGCCCCAGGCCCGAGUUGUAAUUUGCAGAGGAUGCUUUUGGCGCGGUGCCUUCCGAGUUCCCUGGAACGGGACGCCAUAGAGGGUGAGAGCCCCGUACGGUUGGACACCAAGCCUUUGUAAAGCUCCUUCGACGAGUCGAGUAGUUUGGGAAUGCUGCUCUAAAUGGGAGGUACAUUUCUUCUAAAGCUAAAUAUUGGCCAGAGACCGAUAGCGCACAAGUAGAGUGAUCGAAAGAUGAAAAGCACUUUGAAAAGAGGGUUAAACAGCACGUGAAAUUGUUAAAAGGGAAGCGCUUGUGACCAGACUUGCGUCCGGUGAAUCACCCAGCUCUCGCGGCUGGGGCACUUCGCCGGCACAGGCCAGCAUCAGCUUGCCGUCGGGGACAAAAGCUUCAGGAACGUGGCUCCUCUCGGGGAGUGUUAUAGCCUGUUGCAUAAUACCCUUCGGCGGGCUGAGGUACGCGCUCCGCAAGGAUGCUGGCGUAAUGGUCAUCAGCGACCCGUCUUGAAACACGGACCAAGGAGUCAACCUUAUGUGCGAGUGUUUGGGUGUUAAACCCCUACGCGUAAUGAAAGUGAACGCAGGUGAGAGCUUCGGCGCAUCAUCGACCGAUCCUGAUGUUCUCGGAUGGAUUUGAGUAAGAGCAUAUAGGGUUGGACCCGAAAGAAGGUGAACUAUGCGUGUGUAGGGUGAAGCCAGAGGAAACUCUGGUGGAGGCUCGCAGCGGUUCUGACGUGCAAAUCGAUCGUCAAACAUGCGCAUGGGGGCGAAAGACUAAUCGAACCUUCUAGUAGCUGGUUUCCGCGA
rnacentral:rRNA from 1 species